GUGAUCAGCAAAAGCUCAGAAAGAGUGGUACUGAUGGAGAGGAUAAAUGCUUACCCAAACUCACAUAAGUUGGCAUAUCUGCAGGGAAACAUCACGUUAGCCUUUGAGGAGAGAGGCUAUGCAGGGAUCCAAACAAGAAAAUGUGUAACAAUUUCAGAAGUGGCAAAAAGCAACAACGAGAUGGAAAAAGAUGUGAAGGAUGUGACAGUGAAUGUGGGUCACCCCCAAGGCUCUUUGUGGCAAGACAACGCUGGAGCUUCUCCUUUGCAUGAAACUGAUUGAUGCUGCAAGGUCCUGAAGGAAGACAGAUGUUUUUUGUUUUGUUUUGUUUUAGUGCAGUUCUCCAGUAAAAAGAAAACCCAGGCGGUGAAUAAAUUCAGUCUUCUCCUUUGGGAGAAGUUCACUUCUA
rnacentral:lncRNA from 1 species